CCCCAAGUCCUGGUGGCCUAGGCAACUGCCUAGGUCACCUAAAUGGAAGCGCCGGCCCUGCCUGAAGUUCAUACAAGUGGCUAGUAGCUGAAUAGACAUUCGGAUGUUAGCUGUUGAGAUGUUUGUGCACAAUCUGAUUGGCUGUACAUACAAGGUACUGAUUCUUUAAAACAAGCCCAUUCCGUUCCAAGCAAGCCUGCAUUGUGUCUAAUUAUAAGUCCAUGUUCCUGUGGGCUUUUUUUUGUUUGUUUAAAUCCCUUUCAUCUUAUAACAGCCUCAGCACUGGGGAUUUAUGACCAUCUGGGGUUCAGAUACUCCAGUGACAGAGAUCAGACAAGUACCUGGAAAGAAGGGUAGGCAGGUCAGAUGGUCAUUUCUAUCCAACUGGUCAUUUAUCCCCAGGAAAUACCCUCUGCUAGGGUCAUUAAUGGUUAGACACAUACUGUCUGGAAGGGUAUCUCUUCAUGUAUCCGUUCUGCCUGUGUGCUGUGAAGAAAAGAGCUGCAAAGCAGAGUGAUUGCAGCUUUGCGCUGUCCAUGAGAGAGGCACCAAGCGAAAUGACUCACGGGGCUGUGUUCAUUCUAAGCAUGGGUUUGAGUCACAAAGUUCAGCUCCAGAGGGGAUAUUAAUCCAGAGCAUCUCACGCUUGGGGUUUCCGACCUAAUGACCUGACAUGGUCCAGUAUUGUUUGAGAUCCGGCUCUAACUUCCCCAACGCUCUGGGAUGGAUCAGAUUUGGUGGCCUUCUAGCUAUUUGGUUGUAAAAGUAGCCUUUGUUCCUUUCCUGGAUGAAUCUGUAUUCUGCGUUCCUAGUUGUUAAAUCUCUACCUUUCCUGAAAGGUCUGAGGAGCCCUGUUCUGGGUGUUCCCUAUUGGUGCUGCAGCCAGCAAGCAGAGCCAUAUGUGGCAAAAUGAGGCUAAUCCAGGAGAGUGGGGAUGAUUGGGUGCUACAGAAAUGGCUGGGUAAAGAGACCAGGUGAUUUAUAAUGUGUCACAAAUGCUAGUUCACACCAGUCUGCAGAGUCCAGUCGGGGGAUGAUGCAAUGGUCUGUGGUCUAUAUAAGCCCAAACCCUGGCUAAAAUCCAGCGGUCAUAAAAGGUGGAGGGCGGGUAAAGACACUUUUUCAUAACUUUUCCAUUUCUAUCUUGUUUUAACUGGGCCACGGCUCAGGGGCUGGUCUCUCUGCGUCUGGACGUUGUGUCAGCUCACAUUCCUUUCCUGUGUGAUCCUAGGAGUCUUGUGGGGUUCUCAGUGUCUUAGGCAGCAGGGAGGGAAAAAGAUGAUUGUAGGUGAAAAGAAUGGAAGGAGAAAGCAGCCAGCUCUGUUUAAUAGAAUUCAGUGGCAAGGCACUCAUCCCGUGGCAGGAUCCAUUUCCUAUCUGGUAGGCUCAGAGUGGGGUGACCUUGAAUGGGCCCCACAUCUGGAUAGUGAACAAGGUAGAGAAUCCUAUUUAAAAUCUUUACCCCCAUUAGUGCCAAGAGAGGCAAGGAUGCCCGUGAACGUGCCUAAUGAAAACCCUGUGGAGAGACUCAUUCGCAGCCCUGCCCCUUUUACACUCAAGGUCUCCUGAGUUGUGCAAACACAGAGGCUGCUGAUACUGUGUUUGGUUGGGAAGACUGCAAUGUGUGCGUGUUGCUUUUUGGGCUUCUUACUAAGGCUGUGUCUACACUGCACCUAUGUUGGCAAAACUUGUGGUGUGAAUAUUCCACCCCCCUGAGCGACAUACGUGACACCAACACAAGCGUUCGUGUGCGCAGUGCUAUGUUGGUGGGAGAGUUUCUCCCACCGACAUAGCUUAUGCCAUUCGCGAAGGUGGGUUUUUUUAUGCCGACAAGAAAGCACUCUCCCAUCAGCCCAGAGCGUCUUCACCAGAUAUGCUGCAGCAGUGCAGCCGUAUUGGUCCAAUUGCGGCACUGUAUCUACAGAUAUGACCUAACCUGGCCGCAGGGCAGCCAAUAAAGAGAGGCCAGAGCAUUUCAUGCACUGAAAAAAAAUCCUUCGAGCUAUUGCAAAGAAUAAAUCAAUCUGGCUGCUAGUGAGUGAAGUCAGGAAUGUCUGGCUGCUUGCCACCAGGGGAAAAAUCAUUCCCGGGGAGAGUUAAUGUAUUUAUCACAGGCUUGCCUCUCAUUCAGUCUUGGAACAAACUCUCUCGUUCUGCUUAAUUCUCUUCAAACUGCUUGGAUUUUUUUAUAUAUAUAUAUAAUAUUGGCCUCUCGCUGCCCUUAAGUCAUGUCAUGUCUGAAGCUAGAAAGCUGUUCUCUCUCCCCUGUGCACGGCACGGCGAGCAGCGCAGAUCCUAAGCAGGCUCAGACCCCUGCUCCCAAGUUUCUCUUCUGCCAGUUGGGGGUAAGAUAGACCAGUGGUGGUUAUUGGGACUUCGUGGACACCUGUCUGCUAGAGUCUGGGCUGAGACUGAGCUAUUCCACAGAGGCCAUUGUCUAACAAUCAGAGGAUAAUAAUUCUGGGGGAGAUUUUCAAAGUUGACAAUAGGAAAUAGGUGCCUGGUUCCCACUGACUUUUAAUGAGGAUUGGGCACUGAAAUGCCCUUUGUGCCUUUAAAAAAUUCUCUCUGUCUCCACCAAGCUGGUGAGGAUUUCAACCAUUGACUUUGAGGUAAAGGGCUCCAUGCCCUAGAAUACCCUGAGCCAUCUUGGCUCCCAAGAGGAGUGGGGGAUUCACCAGCUCCUGAUGUUUUCAGAUUAACACUGGCUGCCUUUCUGAGAGAGAUGCUUUAGCCAAACACAAGUUAUUGGGUUCAGUCCAGGCGUAACUGUGGGAAAUGUAAUGGCCUGUGAUAUACAGGAGGUUGGACUAGAUGAUCUAAUGCUCUCUUCUUGCCUUAAACUCUUAAACUGAUGUUCUCAGCAGAGAGACUAGGUCCUGAAAGUGGAUGGAGACUGAACUGGCCUCUCUGCUCAAGAAGGUCCGUCCAAGUCAAGGUUGAGGCAGUACACUGGUAGCACAGUGCAGGAAAGUUUGCAUUGUCACUGCCUAUGCUGUCCUUUUGCAAUAGAUAAAUACAGCAGAGGACUUCAGUCUCCAGGACUGUCCGUCCAGUACCUUCCACCAGCACUACAUUUAUAUACAUUUUAAAGGACUCUGGGUUAGUCUCAGGUUGGCACAAGGAGACAGUGCAGGUUCUUCGCGAGUGAAAGAGAAGGCUGAAAGAGGCCUGUCUGUGGGCAAUAAGAGAAUGGUUUUUUAGUGGCAAUUCUCAAAAUCUGGAAUUAGAAUUUUUUGCUACCAUUCUCCCCAUGUAUAAGAAAUUCCCCCUCUCCCUUAGACAAGGAAAGGAAAUGAACUUGGGUUGGGGUAGCUCUAAAAAUUUGCAAAGACCCUCUUUCUAUUCCCCACAAUUUUCACUUGCACUCUUCAGAAACUGAACGUGAUGAAAACACUGGCUCGAAAUGCCAGGGGGAAACAUUUAGCAAGUGGAGCCAUGGGUUUGAUGUGUCAGUCCCAGGAGAUCUCUAUCGGCUGCUACCAACUCUCAGCAUAACCUGUGACUAAAUCCAAGCCAUAGUACCUAGAACUUUACGGCACCGGGAUCACGCAGGUCUGACAGUGCUGAGAGCCAGCAGCUAAACCAGCACUCUGGUCACUGUACGCCCAGUUAGUUUCCCCAGAGAAGGGCCUGGUUCAGGGAAGCUGGGUCUAGUUACUAGAUCAGUCUGAGCCACAUUAGCUGGAAGAGUAGAAAGGUACGUGGGGAGGAAUGGCAAAGGGGGGAUGAGAAAGAGUGGGAAAGGCUGGUAGGCCCAGGGUAAAGGGAGUGCUCUGCGCGGAGAGAUCGCUUGCUUCUGGCAGAAGGUGAUGGGGUUUGAAUGUCACUGCUAGCAGAGCUGCUGCACAGGACUGUUAUGGGGUGGUGGUGAUUGGGAGUAACACAAAUAAACAACAUGGUGGUGUUUGUUAAAGGACGAGAAGACAGGAACAGAGGGUCAGGCCCUGCCCCAGAGCCUGAGAAGGAUUUAGUGGCUGAUCAGCUCAGGUGUCAAUCUUAUUGGAACGUUGCCAUUUCAUAGCUGCGGGAUGCUGAGAAAGAAGAGCGGCACCAAGGGCUCGAUCCUGCAAGAUGCUGAGUGCUCCAGGUCCGCUGACGUCUGGAUCAGGCCCACUCGUGCUUAAAGUGAAUCAUGUGCUCAAGUGCUUUGCUGGAUUGGGGCUAGAGGGCUCAGAACUGUGAAGGACCCACGUCCAGCUGAGCAGUUCAGAGAACUGUGUGCGAUAGGAAAGUGUGGCCACCUGCUUCCUUCAUAUGUGACACCCAUCCCCGCCCCCCCAGCCCUCUGUCUCCCAAGGAAUUCCAAAAGUUACAGAGAAAUGCAAUAAACAAGGACCCACGUACAAAACAUCUUGCUCCUUUCCACCCUGCUCCUCCCUGUGAGAGGCGAAGAGACUUGUGCUCAACCACCCACUCUCGCAGAGAGGAACCCAGCCACCGCCGAUGCGCACGGGGAAGGAUUUAACUCACAGCAGAAUUAUUCUGUUCUUUGUCGGUGGAAAACGGUGAGAGAAAGAUAAAUGCCUGUUUGGUCAAAGUCUUCAUUUAGUUUCACGGCCUAUACCAUGCACUAGCAGCUCUUUAUUACUCCACAUUGUGAAGUAAACCUCAACAGUACUCAGUCCUGUACAGGACACAGGAGAAGACGCAGUCCCUGCCCCAAAGAGCUUCCAGUCUAAAUAGGACUCUUGCUAUCUGACUCGCUUGUCUACUAGCUGGUCUGCACGGGACAAACAAGGCAGAAUAUUUAUGGAGUAAGUACCAUCCAAGGGCAGGGUAGUUACAAUAGAAGUACUAGGUAGCAGCAGGCUAUUUACAAAGGCAGUACAAGGUACCAUGCUUAGUGAGCACCGCGUAACUGGUAGGGCAUUUUCAAGGAAAGUCCCCGGUGGUAGCAGACUCUGUGGUACUUUAUAUGUAGUAUUGUUGUUGUAGCCAUGUCAGGCCCAGGAUAUUAGAGAGACAAGGUGGGUGAGGUAAUAUCUCUUAUUGGCUCAACUAUGUUUCUUAUCCUGUAAGUCAUACAAGGAGAGGAGAGGGAGAAAGAGGCAGAGGGAGGGGGCAAAUGGAGGAGCUGGAGGAGUGACAAAAUGAGAGAAGGUGAAAGGAGGAGAGAGGAAAGUUAAUCCACAAGCUGGUGCAGUUUUGGGGAAGUGACAUCACUUUAGUUGCUACUGAAAACUGUCCUUUGGCUCCAAACUGGCUCAGUGCAGUCCCCUGGUAUAGAGGCUGCAUGGGGCCAAAUCCAUCCCUGCUGUAACUAUUGAUUUAGCCCAUGGUGAAAGCUCCUGGGCUCGCUGCCAGCACAGACCAUAUGACAGAGUUGCCCUAGUGAGAACAGCCAUUGUCUUAGGACCGGCUGGAAAGAGGCAGCUACUGCGGGGGUGGUAGGAGGGACACUCAAGCUACAAACGGCACACUUAGCUUAACCCCAUGCUUUUGGUCCUCUUGUGUGCAUGAGCAGAGGAGAGUCCCAGCCCCACCCCCAAGGAACUGACCAUUGACGGCUCCUCGGAAAACGUCUGGGAGGAAUAUAACUGGAGACACGCAUGCCGAGCAGAAUAAGAGCAGGUCUCUUCCCAGGUGGAGACUACAUCUGAGGACACAGGCAGGAGAGAGGAGCAGACAGCGUAUGCUGGAAUCAAAGGGACACAGACCAAGGAGGAGAGAGAGGGGGGAACUGUUCCUUGCAACAGGACUGGAUUCAGUGGUGCCUUAGCAGGGAUUCUGGCCCCUCUCUUCCAGCCUCUGCUCAUGACCUAGUUCUCCUGGAGGAAGCUGUUGCUGAUGCCAGCUGUGAAAUGGAAAGGCAUGCAGGAGCUGUUCUCACAGGGAGAGAUGAAAAAGAGGUUCUGUGGAACAUCAGGAUCGUCUGCUUAGGGGAUUUUAUGACUACAGGUCUUUUUUCAGCCCUUGUAAACAACUCUGAGGAAAUGCAGCAUCCAAAACACCCCGAGGGAGCUGAGGAGACUAAGCAGGAGGUUGGCUCAGACUCCCUCACAAGUAACCACUGAGGAAAAGCAGCAGGUUUCUUUCAAUUCCUAGCCGAAGUCCUUUCUCAGUGGAUGCCUAUUCAUAAUCUGGGUCCUCCAGGAGCUCUGCCCACUUCUGCUGUUUGACUACGGAAGUGCCCAGCUUCCAAGAGGCCAUAGGGAGCAACUCAGCCUGGCAUCAGGACACAUCCGGCCCAGCCAGGAAGGUGCUGUGUGCAUGACUGGCAGCAGGUGCUGAUCGUGUCAUCUCCUCAGCUUGUUCAGCAGCAACUCUUCACUUCACACCAGCCGCGGCAGUGGCUGGAAGAUAUUGGCCAAGACAAUUAGCUACACUUCUGACAAACCCCAUGCAACCAAGGGCUCUUAUUCUGGCUGCUGGAGCUGAGGGGAAGAGGUUCCCAUGCCUUUAAUAUACAGCAACUACAAGAUGGCCGACAGCCCCAUGGAGGUCACCUCAGCAAUGCCAUCCAGAAGCCAUGACACAACCUCAGGGCCUGAGGUAACCAGGAAGUGAUCACAAUUCACCUAGGAGAAAGUCCUGCUCCCAGUGAUCAGGGAUUCACCCCCUGGGGAGGGUUUCCUUUUAUAUAAGUAUGUUAAUAAAAAAUCACUUUGAAGACCAGGUCACUCUAGCCAAUAGCAUUAAAGGCGCGUUUGCUUCCAUUAAA